rnacentral:rRNA from 1 species
UUAAGCGACUAAGCGUACACGGUGGAUGCCCUGGCAGUCAGAGGCGAUGAAGGACGUGCUAAUCUGCGAAAAGCGUCGGUAAGGUGAUAUGAACCGUUACAGCCGGCGAUGUCCGAAUGGGGAAACCCAGUGCAAUUCGUUGCACUAUCGUUAACUGAAUACAUAGGUUAACGAGGCGAACCGGGGGAACUGAAACAUCUAAGUACCCCGAGGAAAAGAAAUCAACCGAGAUUCCCCCAGUAGCGGCGAGCGAACGGGGAGCAGCCCAGAGUCUGAAUCAGCUUGUGUGUUAGUGGAACGGUCUGGAAAGUCCGACGGUACAGGGUGAUAGUCCCGUACACCAAAAUGCACAGGUUGUGAACUCGAAGAGUAGGGCGGGACACGUGGUAUCCUGUCUGAAUAUGGGGGGACCAUCCUCCAAGGCUAAAUACUCCUGACUGACCGAUAGUGAACCAGUACCGUGAGGGAAAGGCGAAAAGAACCCCGGCGAGGGGAGUGAAAAAGAACCUGAAACCGUGUACGUACAAGCAGUGGGAGCACCUUCGGGUGUGACUGCGUACCUUUUGUAUAAUGGGUCAGCGACUUAUAUUCUGUAGCAAGGUUAACCGUAUAGGGGAGCCGCAGGGAAACCGAGUCUUAACUGGGCGUUAAGUUGCAGGGUAUAGACCCGAAACCCGGUGAUCUAGCCAUGGGCAGGUUGAAGGUUGGGUAACACUAACUGGAGGACCGAACCGACUAAUGUUGAAAAAUUAGCGGAUGACUUGUGGCUGGGGGUGAAAGGCCAAUCAAACCGGGAGAUAGCUGGUUCUCCCCGAAAGCUAUUUAGGUAGCGCCUCGUGAACUCAUCUUCGGGGGUAGAGCACUGUUUCGGCUAGGGGGUCAUCCCGACUUACCAACCCGAUGCAAACUACGAAUACCGAAGAAUGUUAUCACGGGAGACACACGGCGGGUGCUAACGUCCGUCGUGAAGAGGGAAACAACCCAGACCGCCAGCUAAGGUCCCAAAGUCAUGGUUAAGUGGGAAACGAUGUGGGAAGGCACAGACAGCCAGGAUGUUGGCUUAGAAGCAGCCAUCAUUUAAAGAAAGCGUAAUAGCUCACUGGUCGAGUCGGCCUGCGCGGAAGAUGUAACGGGGCUAAACCAUGCACCGAAGCUGCGGCAGCGACACUAUGUGUUGUUGGGUAGGGGAGCGUUCUGUAAGCCUGCGAAGGUGACCUGUGAGGGUUGCUGGAGGUAUCAGAAGUGCGAAUGCUGACAUAAGUAACGAUAAAGCGGGUGAAAAGCCCGCUCGCCGGAAGACCAAGGGUUCCUGUCCAACGUUAAUCGGGGCAGGGUGAGUCGACCCCUAAGGCGAGGCCGAAAGGCGUAGUCGAUGGGAAACAGGUUAAUAUUCCUGUACUUGGUGUUACUGCGAAGGGGGGACGGAGAAGGCUAUGUUAGCCGGGCGACGGUUGUCCCGGUUUAAGCAUGUAGGCUGGUUGUCCAGGCAAAUCCGGAUAAUCAAGGCUGAGGUGUGAUGACGAGGCACUACGGUGCUGAAGUAACAAAUGCCCUGCUUCCAGGAAAAGCCUCUAAGCAUCAGGUAACAUUAAAUCGUACCCCAAACCGACACAGGUGGUCAGGUAGAGAAUACCAAGGCGCUUGAGAGAACUCGGGUGAAGGAACUAGGCAAAAUGGUGCCGUAACUUCGGGAGAAGGCACGCUGGUGUGUAGGUGAAGUCCCUGCGGAUGGAGCUGAGACCAGUCGAAGAUACCAGCUGGCUGCAACUGUUUAUUAAAAACACAGCACUGUGCAAACACGAAAGUGGACGUAUACGGUGUGACGCCUGCCCGGUGCCGGAAGGUUAAUUGAUGGGGUUAUCCGUAAGGAGAAGCUCUUGAUCGAAGCCCCGGUAAACGGCGGCCGUAACUAUAACGGUCCUAAGGUAGCGAAAUUCCUUGUCGGGUAAGUUCCGACCUGCACGAAUGGCGUAAUGAUGGCCAGGCUGUCUCCACCCGAGACUCAGUGAAAUUGAACUCGCUGUGAAGAUGCAGUGUACCCGCGGCAAGACGGAAAGACCCCGUGAACCUUUACUAUAGCUUGACACUGAACAUUGAGCCUUGAUGUGUAGGAUAGGUGGGAGGCUUUGAAGCGUGGACGCCAGUCUGCGUGGAGCCAACCUUGAAAUACCACCCUUUAAUGUUUGAUGUUCUAACGUUGGCCCCUGACCGGGGUUGCGGACAGUGUCUGGUGGGUAGUUUGACUGGGGCGGUCUCCUCCCAAAGCGUAACGGAGGAGCACGAAGGUUAGCUAAUCCUGGUCGGACAUCAGGAGGUUAGUGCAAUGGCAUAAGCUAGCUUGACUGCGAGCGUGACGGCGCGAGCAGGUGCGAAAGCAGGUCAUAGUGAUCCGGUGGUUCUGAAUGGAAGGGCCAUCGCUCAACGGAUAAAAGGUACUCCGGGGAUAACAGGCUGAUACCGCCCAAGAGUUCAUAUCGACGGCGGUGUUUGGCACCUCGAUGUCGGCUCAUCACAUCCUGGGGCUGAAGUAGGUCCCAAGGGUAUGGCUGUUCGCCAUUUAAAGUGGUACGCGAGCUGGGUUUAGAACGUCGUGAGACAGUUCGGUCCCUAUCUGCCGUGGGCGCUGGAGAAUUGAGGGGGGCUGCUCCUAGUACGAGAGGACCGGAGUGGACGCAUCACUGGUGUUCGGGUUGUCAUGCCAAUGGCACUGCCCGGUAGCUAAAUGCGGAAGAGAUAAGUGCUGAAAGCAUCUAAGCACGAAACUUGCCCCGAGAUGAGUUCUCCCUGAGACUUUAAGUCUCCUGAAGGAACGUUAAAGACGAUGACGUUGAUAGGCCGGGUGUGUAAGCGCAGCGAUGCGUUGAGCUAACCGGUACUAAUGAACCGUGAGGCUUAACCUU